AAAAAGCUGUUUGCUUAC
rnacentral:snRNA from 1 species